AGCUUCCUCAUUGACCAAAGGAGAGUCCUUCCAGUUGAUGAGGAAGCUAUACCUCAUCAACUGGAAGGAAUCCCUUCUGGUCGAGGAGGUUUAGCCCCCUCACCAACCGGAAGGACUCUCCUCCGGUCGAUGAGGAAGCU
rnacentral:miRNA from 1 species